rnacentral:rRNA from 1 species
GACGUAGGGGGCCAGCGUUGUUCGGAAUUACUGGGUGUAAAGGGUUCGUAGGCGGUGUAGCAAGUCGGGCGUGAAAUCUCUGGGCUUAACCCAGAGGCUGCUUCCGAAACUGCUGUGCUUGAGUGUGGGAGAGGCGCGUGGAAUUGCAGGUGUAGCGGUGAAAUGCGUAGAUAUCUGCAGGAACACCCGUGGCGAAAGCGGCGCGCUGGACCACUACUGACGCUGAGGAACGAAAGCUAGGGGAGCAAACAGG